rnacentral:rRNA from 1 species
UACGUAGGUGGCAAGCGUUGUCCGGAUUUAUUGGGCUUAAAGGGUGCGUAGGCGGCCCUGUAAGUCAGCGGUGAAAUACCGCAGCUCAACUGUCGAGGUGCCGUUGAUACUGCGGGGCUUGAGUGUUGAUGAGGCAGGCGGAAUUGACGGUGUAGCGGUGAAAUGCUUAGAUAUCGUCAAGAACACCGAUAGCGAAGGCAGCCUGCCAAGCAACAACUGACGCUGAGGCACGAAAGUGCGGGGAUCAAACAGG